rnacentral:lncRNA from 1 species
AAAUGGCGAAAUGGGGAAAAAAAUUCCCGCGAGAAAAAUCCUGUGAGAAGGCUGGUUUUCCGCACGGGUGUUGGGCACUGUGCAUGUGCACAUGCGCGCACAAUGGUCGUGGGAUGUGCGCACAGCACACGUGCCCUUUCAUGCGCACGGCACAGGGUCAGGACUUGUGCGAGCAUCCUGUCAUGCGCAGGCAAGCCAUCAAUGCGUAGGCCUUGUGCGUCUAGGGCCUACAUGCAGUAGGUCUGCGCGCGCGGCGCCUAGCACACCUUGGCCUUACGUGCGCGUAAGUUAGCCCCUGCGCGCACAGCAAGAAACCUGUACGCCUACAGGCUAGCCCGCAACGUGCCAACUGGAGAACUGCCA